UGGGGAAUAUUGCGCAAUGGGGGAAACCCUGACGCAGCGACGCCGCGUGAGCGAAGAAGGCCUUAGGGUUGUAAAGCUCUGUUUUAAGGGACGAAUGUGCAGCCGAGUAAUAUGCGGUUGCAAUGACGGUACCUUAAGAGGAAGCCCCGGCUAACUACGUGCCAGCAGCCGCGGUAAGACGUAGGGGGCGAGCGUUGUCCGGAAUUACUGGGCGUAAAGAGCACGUAGGCGGAGACUUAAGUCAGGUGUGAAAGACCGGGGCUCAACCCCGGGGUUGCACUUGAAACUGGGUUUCUUGAGGGCAGGAGAGGAAAGCAGAAUUCCUGGUGUAGCGGUGAAAUGCGUAGAAAUCAGGAGGAAUACCAGUGGCGAAGGCGGCUUUCUGGACUGACCCUGACGCUGAGGUGCGAAAGCGUGGGUAGCAAACAGG
rnacentral:rRNA from 1 species